AUUGAACGCUGGCGGCAGGCCUAACACAUGCAAGUCGAACGAGCGGCGGACGGGUGAGUAAUGUCUGGGAAACUGCCUGAUGGAGGGGGAUAACUCCUGGAAACGGUAGCUACUACCGCAUACCAUCAGAUGACCCCCGAUGGGAUUAGCUGGUUGGUGGGGUAAAGGCUCAACAAGGCGACGAUCCCUAGCUGGUCUGAGAGGAUGAGCAGCCACACUGGAAAUGAGACACGGUCCAGACUCCUACGGGAGGCAGCAGUGGGGAAUAUUGCACAAUGGGCGCAAGCCUGAUGAAGCCAUGCCGCGUGUAUGAAGAAGGCCUUCGGGUUGUAAAGUACUUUCAGCGGGGAGGCGUUACCCGCAGAAGAAGCACCGGCUAACGCCGUGCCAGCAGCCGCGGUAAUUC
rnacentral:rRNA from 1 species